rnacentral:rRNA from 1 species
UACAGAGGUGGCAAGCGUUGUUCGGAAUUACUGGGCGUAAAGGGCGCGUAGGCGGCCUUCUAAGUCAGACGUGAAAUCCCCCGGCUUAACCUGGGAACUGCGUCUGAUACUGGGAGGCUUGAGUAUGGGAGAGGGAUGUAGAAUUCCAGGUGUAGCGGUGAAAUGCGCAGAUAUCAGGAGGAACACCAAUUGCGAAGGCAGCUCGCUGGGACGUUACUGACGCUGAGACGCGAAAGCGUGGGGAGCAAACAGG